rnacentral:rRNA from 1 species
ACGCUCGACACCUACGGAGGGCAGCAGUUGGGAAUAUUGGACAAUGGAGGAAACUCUGAUCCAGUGACGCCGCGUGAAGGAAGAAGGUCUUCGGAUUGUAAACUUAUUUUGUCAGGGAAGAAAAAAAUAGACUGUACCUGAAGAAAAAGACACCGGCUAACUACGUGGCAGCAGCCGCGGUAAUCUGAGCGGGCUGGCAAGGC